GCUAUGAAAGCCAUAGUAAAAAGAGGUCCAUAACUGUUGUCAAAUCCCAUUAUAGGGAAUAUUUUAAAGGCCACAAUCCAGACCUGCAGGGGGCAACCACGUGCAGAGAGGGGUGGAACCCAAGCUAGGAACUCUAGUUGCUAGAGGGACCUGGUUAACCUGCGCACCCAGGGGAAGCAGAGCUGUGAAAUGUUUGUAGGAAGCUCAGUAGGCUCCCUCACCUGCUCCUAAAGGGAAGACAUGGCCACAGCUCCUGGUCUUUUUAAAGACACAACUGGUAGAAAUAGGAAAAGCCAAUUUAUAACGUGGGUUGGGUCAGUUUUGGAAAUCACUGAGGAACUUUAAAGCAGAAGCAAAACCCAACAGGCAAGUAUCAUGUUAUUUAGAUUUGUGUGAAAUUGGCAGUUGUGGGACAGAACACAACACACUUCACAAAGUUAGCACAGACAUACUGUACAUACACACAUAUUUAUAUAUAUAUAUUUAUAUAUGUGUGUGUGUGUGUGUGUACAUAUAUAGACUGCUGCCCACACCACCAAUUCAUUGACAUGUUUCCUCUCACCCACACAUGACAACAUCCAAGUUGAAUUGUGAAACUGCAGAUUUCACUUUCUAUCAAAGGUAUUAAUGGACAAGAACCUCUUCACACUUCCCAGCUCAGGUUUAACGCUGUUUAAAGGUAAUGUUGAGAGGAUGCUGGCACAGGGACCAGAGGGCAGUGACUCCUGGACAGCGUCCUGUGACACCGUCAAAACCACCUUUCAAGUACUUUUACAUUUGUUUUUGAACAAAUGUUCAGAAUGAUCUUCUGAUUUUCUAAACCAGAAAAACUUCCACCUAUUCCAUGGCAUUACCUCAUUCUUAGAACAUAGAACAAUGAAAUUGAACUGCACAUAUCUAGGACUAGCAGCUAACACACACACACACACACUACUGUUUACAAAAACACAUGUUCUGUGGUUCAUAACAACCAACAAGGUUUCACUGAAUACACUGAUGUUUUUAUGCCACACAGAGAGGAGCUGGAUGGUUAGCCUCUGGUGGUAGUUAGCUGUUAUUAAACUCACAAACAGCAUAUCCAAUUACACUGGCUUUAAUUUGAAAUAAACCAAUUAUGACUGUUAAUAAUCUGAAUAUAAAGAACCAAUCAGUUCAAAGAUAUUUGAAAUCCUACUGAUUGCGUUUUACAAAAGCACAGAAAGGAAACAACAAUUUAAUCUAGAAAAUAAUAACGACGUGUCUGUGAUUCAUUAUCAAAAUUACAGACACUAGAGAGCCACACAGAACCGAACUGUGAGAUCGUAGAACCCCCGAUAAUGAUGUCCUGAUGAAGACACACUUGGUCAGUCACUUAAAGUUGUUUCUAGCUAACUGACGGAGCUGGAUUACGGCUCAUAAACUUUACUUUGUUUUCACUAAUAUAAAGGAGAGUGUUGUCUAAAUGAUCCAUUAACAUCAGUGGUACGAUCAGAUGAGUUCACCUUAUCUUUGGUUCGAGUGGUCAAUUUCAAGUAUCCAAAAGGCCGAAAAAACAGGAAUGAGAUCUUUGUGUCUACGGCCGUUUGCAGGCUCGGCUGAGGUGACACUAACUGAAUACAU